GGAGAAAGCAGGGGAUCGUAAGACCUUGUGCUUUUGGAGCGGCCGAUGCCUGAUUAGCUAGUUGGUAAGGUAAAGGCUUACCAAGGCUUCGAUCAGUAGUUGGUCUGAGAGGAUGACCAGCCACACUGGGACUGAGACACGGCCCAGACUCCUACGGGAGGCAGCAGUGGGGAAUUUUGGACAAUGGGCGAAAGCCUGAUCCAGCAAUGCCGCGUGAGUGAAGAAGGCCUUCGGGUUGUAAAGCACUUUCAGUCGAGAAGAAAAGGUUGUGACAAAUAAUCACAACUUAUGACGGUAUCGACAGAAGAAGCACCGGCUAACUACGUGCCAGCAGCCGCGGUAAUACGUAGGGUGCAAGCGUUAAUCGGAAUUACUGGGCGUAAAGGGUGCGCAGGCGGCUUCGUAAGUCAGAUGUGAAAUCCCCGGGCUUAACCUGGGAACUGCGUUUGAAACUACAAGGCUAGA
rnacentral:rRNA from 1 species